UGGAGAACUCCGGUCAGCUGACACAUCCCUGCCAAUCUCCGGCAGACCCUCCCACCUCCUGGACAGCAUCCAUGUUGAAGCUGUCCAGGAAGUAGGAGGGUCUGGGAGGGAGGGUCUGCCGGAGAUUGGCAGGCAUGUGUCAGCUGACCGG